ACGGAUUUUGGAGACACGUGUCAGAAAAAGAAGAGUUUGGGUUUCUCUUUCUCUCUCCCGAAGGAUGAGUUCGACGAUUGAGUCUAUUCCAUCUCUUCCUCGAUUGAUCUCUCUUCGAUACGGUUGCUGGAAGGUCUGUCGGAAGCUCCGAGGGUGAGGAUCGGCGAGAUUCUUCUAAGUUUGGUUUGGAAUCCGUGAUCUGCCCCGUCGAUUCGAUGCCUGAUAUGGCUAAGAAACCUGCUAACAAAGGAAUCUUUGUUAUACGGCAGACACCAAGAGAGUCUCUAAACCCUUUUCCACUGAAAUUGAUAUACUCUAUGAUCUCUCUUGAUAUCUUUAAAUGUUCAGAGUUGUAUGGUUGGAUGAUAUCUGGAGAGAGAAGAUGAACAUGUCUACGAGGUUCAUCGUUCUGAUCACCAUAUCACUAGUGAUGAGCCUUGGAACAGAUGCGACGGAAGAAGAUGGAGCACUUGUUGCUUAGUUGUUUGGCUCUGUGGGGAAGAUGUUCAAAGCUGAUGAGAAAAUGUUUGAUGCUGUCACUGGUCUCAGUGGAAGUGGACCAGCGUAUAUAUUCCUAGCCGUUGAAGCUUUAGCUGAUGGAGGAGUAGCUGCUGGUUUACCCCGAGAACUCGCACUCGGUUUAGCUUCACAGAUGGUGCAGAUUAUCAUGUCUAUCACACAGCUUUUGAUUCCUAUGAUUGGAUGAUUCACAAUGCAGAUCCGUUGUUUCAUCGUCAUGUUGCCAGUAACGUUUUGUUUUCUUCGUUCUUGUUCUAGUUUUCUCAUGGAUCCCCUUCUUUCAUCUCAUAUAUUCAUAUCUUGGUGAUUGAUUUUGCAGAAGUUAAAAGAACAAGCAUACAACAAUGUUUAAAUUUUUUUUAAGAACCUUUAACUAAGAAACUAGCAUUGUAGCACAAAUUUUAGAUGUUUCUUAACAAAAGUUCUUAAGAUUA